rnacentral:rRNA from 1 species
GACGAACGCUGGCGGCGUGCUUAACACAUGCAAGUCGAACGGAAAGGCCCUGCUUUUGUGGGGUGCUCGCGUGGCGAACGGGUGAGUAACCCGUGAGUAACCUGCCCUUGACUUUGGGAUAACUUCAGGAAACUGGGGCUAAUACCGGAUAGGAGCUCCUGCUGCAUUGUGGGGGUUAGAAAGUUUCGGCGGUUGGGGAUGGACUCGCGGCUCAUCAGCUUGUUGGUGGGGUAGUGGCUUACCAAGGCUUUGACGGGUAACCGGCCUGAGAGGGUGAACGGCCAUAUUGGGACUGAGAUUCGGCCCAGACUCCUACGGGAGGCAGCAGUGGGGGAUAUUGCACAAUGGGCGGAAGCCUGAUGCAGCAACGCCGCGUGCGGGAUAACGGCCUUCGGGUUGUAACCCGCUUUCGCCUGUGACGAAGCGUGAGUGACGGUAAUGGGUAAAGAAGCACCAGCUAACUACGUG